CACGUAGGGGGCAAGCGUUGUCCGGAUUUAUUGGGCGUAAAGAGCUCGUAGGCGGCUCAGUAAGUCAGGUGUGAAACCUCCAGGCUCAACCUGGAGACGCCACCUGAUACUGCUGUGGCUAGAGUCCGGUAGGGGAGCGUGGAAUUCCUGGUGUAGCGGUGAAAUGCGCAGAUAUCAGGAGGAACACCAGCGGCGAAGGCGGCGCUCUGGGCCGGUACUGACGCUGAGACGCGAAAGCGUGGGGAGCGAACAGG
rnacentral:rRNA from 1 species